GUAACUAGUGUCAAAGUUUCAGUCCUCCAGGGACUUUUCUCAAGACGUCUUGAGAAAAGUCCCUGGAGGACUGAAACGUUGACACUAUUUACUGGAAAU